rnacentral:tRNA from 1 species
GGAGAGGUGGCUCAGCGGUUAAGAGCACUGACUGCUCUUCCAGAGGUCCUGAGUUCAAUUCCCAGCAACCACA